rnacentral:rRNA from 1 species
GACGAACGCUGGCGGCGUGCUUAACACAUGCCAGUCGAACGGAAAGGCCCUGCUUUUGUGGGGUGCUCGAGUGGCGAACGGGUGAGUAACACGUGAGUAACCUGCCCUUGACUUUGGGAUAACUUCAGGAAACUGGGGCUAAUACCGGAUAGGAGCUCCUGCUGCAUGGUGGGGGUUGGAAAGUUUCGGCGGUUGGGGAUGGACUCGCGGCUUAUCAGCUUGUUGGUGGGGUAGUGGCUUACCAAGGCUUUGACGGGUAGCCGGCCUGAGAGGGUGACCGGCCACAUUGGGACGGAGAUAGGGCCCAGACUCCUACGGGAGGCAGCAGUGGGGAAUAUUGAACAAUGGGCGGAAGCCUGAUGCAGCAACGCCGCGUGCGGGAUGACGGCCUUCGGGUUGUAAACCGCUUUCGCCUGUGACGAAGCGUGAGUGACGGUAAUGGGUAAAGAAGCACCGGCUAACUACGUG